UACGUAGGGGGCAAGCGUUGUCCGGAAUCAUUGGGCGUAAAGCGCGUGUAGGCGGACUGGAAGGUCUGGUGUGAAAGCCCGGGGCUCAACCCCGGAGGGUCACUGGAAACCGACAGUCUUGAGUCCGGAAGAGGAGAGUGGAAUUCCUGGUGUAGCGGUGGAAUGCGCAGAUAUCAGGAGGAACACCUAUGGCGAAGGCAGCUCUCUGGUACGUGACUGACGCUAAGGCAGAGAACGUGGGGAGCGAACAGG
rnacentral:rRNA from 1 species